GCUGGGCAUGGUGGCUCAUGCCUGUAAUCCUAGCACCCUGGGAGGCUGAGGUGGGAGGAUCACUUGAGCCUAGCAGUUUGAAGUUGCAGUGAGCUAUGAUAAUGCCACUGCACUCUAGCCUGGGCAACAGAGUGAGACCCUGUCUCAA
rnacentral:SRP_RNA from 1 species